GCUGCGUGUGGUGGCGCGUGCCUGUAGUCCCAGCUACUCGGGAGGCUGAGGUGGGAAGACAGUUUGAGCCCAGGAGUUCUGGGCUGUAGUGCGCUAUGCCGAUCGGGUGUCCACACUAAGUUUGAUAUCAAUAUGGUGACCUCCCGUGAGCAGAGGACCACCAGGUUGCCUAAGGAGGAGUGAACUGGCCCAGGUUGGAAACGGAGCAGGUCAAAACUCCUGUGCUGAUCGGUUGUGGGAUCGUGCCUGUGAAUAGCCACUGUACUCCAGCCUGGGCAACAUAGUGAGACCCCCAUCUCU
rnacentral:SRP_RNA from 1 species